rnacentral:rRNA from 1 species
AGCGAACGCUGGCGGCAGGCUUAACACAUGCAAGUCGAACGGGCACUUCGGUGCUAGUGGCAGACGGGUGAGUAACGCGUGGGAACGUGCCUUUCGGUUCGGAAUAAUCCAGGGAAACUUGGACUAAUACCGGAUACGCCCUUCGGGGGGAAGAUUUAUCGCCGAAAGAUCGGCCCGCGUCUGAUUAGCUAGGUGGUGAGGUAAAGGCUCACCAAGGCGACGAUCAGUAGCUGGUCUGAGAGGAUGAUCAGCCACAUUGGGACUGAGACACGGCCCAAACUCCUACGGGAGGCAGCAGUGGGGAAUAUUGGACAAUGGGCGCAAGCCUGAUCCAGCCAUGCCGCGUGAGUGAUGAAGGCCUUAGGGUUGUAAAGCUCUUUUGUCCGGGAAGAUAAUGACUGUACCGGAAGAAUAAGCCCCGGCUAACUUCGUGCCAGCCGCCGCAGUAA